rnacentral:rRNA from 1 species
UGCAGUCGAGCGGUAGAGAGAAGCUUGCUCCUCUUGAGAGCGGCGGACGGGUGAGUAAUGCCUAGGAAUCUGCCUGGUAGUGGGGGAUAACGUUCGGAAACGGACGCUAAUACCGCAUACGUCCUACGGGAGAAAGCAGGGGACCUUCGGGCCUUGCGCUAUCAGAUGAGCCUAGGUCGGAUUAGCUAGUUGGUGAGGUAAUGGCUCACCAAGGCGACGAUCCGUAACUGGUCUGAGAGGAUGAUCAGUCACACUGGAACUGAGACACGGUCCAGACUCCUACGGGAGGCAGCAGUGGGGAAUAUUGGACAAUGGGCGAAAGCCUGAUCCAGCCAUGCCGCGUGUGUGAAGAAGGUCUUCGGAUUGUAAAGCACUUUAAGUUGGGAGGAAGGGCAGUAAAUUAAUACUUUGCUGUUUUGACGUUACCGACAGAAUAAGCACCGGCUAACUCUGUGCCAGCAGCCGCGGUAAU